AGAGUUUGAUCCUGGCUCAGGACGAACGCUGGCGGUGUGCUUAACACAUGCAAGUCGAACGGUAAGGCCCUUUCGGGGGUACACGAGUGGCGAACGGGUGAGUAACACGUGAGUAACCUGCCCUCAUCUCUGGGAUAACAGUCGGAAACGGUUGCUAAUACUGGAUAUGAGCCUGCAAGGCAUCUUGUGGGUUGGAAAGAUUUUUUGGUUGGGGAUGGACUCGCGGCCUAUCAGCUUGUUGGUGAGGUAGUGGCUCACCAAGGCUUCGACGGGUAGCCGGCCUGAGAGGGCGACCGGCCACAUUGGGACUGAGAUACGGCCCAAACUCCUACGGGAGGCAGCAGUGGGGAAUAUUGCACAAUGGACGGAAGUCUGAUGCAGCAACGCCGCGUGCGGGAUGACGGCCUUCGGGUUGUAAACCGCUUUCAAUUGUGACGAAGCUUUUUGUGACGGUAGCAGUAGAAGAAGCACCGGCUAACUACGUGCCAGCAGCCGCGGUGAUACGUAGGGUGCGAGCGUUGUCCGGAUUUAUUGGGCGUAAAGAGCUUGUAGGUGGUUUGUCGCGUCGGGAGUGAAAACUCAGGGCUUAACUCUGAGCUUGCUUUCGAUACGGGCUGACUUGAGGGAGGUAGGGGAGAAUGGAAUUCCUGGUGGAGCGGUGGAAUGCGCAGAUAUCAGGAGGAACACCGGUGGCGAAGGCGGUUCUCUGGACCUUUCCUGACGCUGAGAAGCGAAAGCGUGGGGAGCGAACAGGCUUAGAUACCCUGGUAGUCCACGCUGUAAACGGUGGGUACUAGGUGUGGGGGACAUUCCACGUUCUCCGUGCCGUAGCUAACGCAUUAAGUACCCCGCCUGGGGAGUACGGCCGCAAGGCUAAAACUCAAAGGAAUUGAC
rnacentral:rRNA from 1 species